rnacentral:sRNA from 1 species
UUUUAGCCCGGAUGGAAAUGAAAACCCCGGACUUAUGUUUGUUCGUUUUUUUUGGGAUAAAAAAGCGACUUUAGAAGCUUUUUUUAUGCCUUUAAAAAACAACAAAGAUAAGGAGGAGUUGCAAUGUACAGCCGGAUCAGCU